AUGGCUCAGGAUGAACGCUAGCUACAGGCUAACACAUGCAAGUCGAGGGGCAGCAUGAGAUUAGCUUGCUAAUCUUGAUGGCGACCGGUGCACGGGUGAGUAACGCGUAUCCAACCUUCCCCCUACUCAGGCAUAGCCCGGUGAAAACCGGAUUAACUCCUGAUAGUUUCACUAGAUGGCAUCUGACGGUGAAUAAAGCUUUGCGGUAAGGGAUGGGGAUGCGUCUGAUUAGCUUGUUGGCGGGGUAACGGCCCACCAAGGCAACGAUCAGUAGGGGUUCUGAGAGGAAGGUCCCCCACAUUGGAACUGAGACACGGUCCAAACUCCUACGGGAGGCAGCAGUGAGGAAUAUUGGUCAAUGGGCGAGAGCCUGAACCAGCCAAAAGUAGCGUGCAGGAUGACGGCCCUAUGGGUUGUAAACUGCUUUUGUACGGGAAUAAAGUGACCUACGUGUAGGUUUUUGCAUGUACCGUAAGAAUAAGGACCGGCUAAUUCCGUGCCAGCCGCCGC
rnacentral:rRNA from 1 species